ensembl:lncRNA
CAGGGUUUGUUUCCAGGUUAGAUCUUCCACGUUCUGCCUCAGGCCCUGUCUCCUUUCCUACCAAGUUCUUUGUCACAUCUCUAUUCGUGUCCUAGUUGCUGUGACAGUGUGAAAUUUAUCCAUGACAGUAAGAGAAGCUAGUGCAGAAGGCAGCAGGACCUCAUGGUGUACACCUUCAUGCUUUGAAGGAGCAGCAAUUGCUGACGCUGAUUUUAAGCCCUAGAUUGGACUUUUGGGUCAUGUAACAGUUCUAUCCCAUAAAACAGCCCUGGAAAGUUGUAGUAAAGAGAAGCAAAGUCUUUCCACAUCCUCUUUUGUUUUCUUCCUGCUUUAUAGAUAACUCAGAACUCCUAAAUUCUCCUUAUUCCUCACUUUCAGCAUGAAGCUGGUGAUUCUGAUUCAUUAUCUUAUCUGAACUGAUCAUGUUAUUUUUCAAAUGAAAGAAAAAACAAACCUUAUUAUUGUUAUAUCCUUGUCUCAGCAGCACUGCUGCAUUAAUUCAGCCUUCCUUCCUUCCUCUCAGGGUUAACUGCUCUCCCCAUUGGUGAAGUUAAGACUGUCUGCCAAUAUGAUCAAGUUUCAAAAACCAAACCCAACCAGAACGGAGAGCCAAGAAGUGGGCAGGGGUUUGUUUAAUGUGUUGGCACAGUAACUAAAGGUUUUGAGGUGGCUGUGAAGGGUUACACUCCCUCAAUCAGAAAAAUGCUGUCAGCUGGGAAGGAAGGGAGGAGGCCAUGGCUGUUACUGCUUCCUCCGCAGAUAAAUACAGGGGAUGCAAUCAGUUUCCAUACAGCCAGCACAACACAGCAGAGGAGCAGCAACUCCCCGAGGACCUCAGCUUGUUGGUGCAUCCGUGAAUCUGAACGUGAAAUAUUUCAGUCUCACGCGCCGCACCGACUGUUCGCGGUGAAGCACCAGGAGCGUUUUCGAGAUCUACAACAGAGGAGUACCAUGAGGAUAGAACAAAAGAAAUUAAAACACUAGAUAUGCCACAGUUGUCUUAUGCAGCUGUUAGAAAUUUAAUUAUUUUAUCUCACAGAAUAAUGUGCCCUUCAGAAAUCAUUUUGGACUAGAUGUUUCAAACCAAUGAUCUGUAGUUAAUUAUCUUUAAUAACUGUUGCACAUUAUGGUUAGAUCUAUGUUUUUGCUAAACCAAUUAAUAAUAUCUUCAUUAGUAUAAAGACAAGGUAGCUGGAUCCUUUCAUUUUUCACAUUGAAAGAGUAGAUAUUUUAAACACUGUAAUUUACUUUAGCCAUACAUUCCCGAUGAUAUGACUAAUUAAUGAAACUUCAAAGACAUAUAACUUCCAAAAGCUACUUAUUUAAAGUCAUUGUUGAGCACUUAAUGACAUUAUGUUGGGGCACUGCAGAAGCCCUCGCUGCCUGAGUCUUAGAUUUGCUAAACCUUUUUAAGCUACCGGACUGAAUGAAGCUCAAGUUAUAUUGGAAAGGAAAUGGAGCCAAUAUUUCUUCGUGUUCAUAAAAACCACCCCAGAACCUGUUGCUUACAGGAGGAUCUAUCCAAAGUUGAUGACCUCCUUUCUGCUUUUCAGUUGUGACUGGCAGUUGUGCUUAAUCAGGCAAAUCUAUGUGGAAAAUGUUAGUAGAAGAACAAAGUAAAUAUUCAAUAUUUUGUGGGUUGGCUGGUGUUAAUUUUGUUCAGAAUCAUUAGUUUUCCAAAUAUUCCUUUUAU